UUUGAAAGGCAAUAGCAACUUCCUUUGUUUGCAUCUAAAGUCAAUAUAAUGCCAAUAAUCAUAAUUAACAUUCGUUUCAAAGAAGAAUAGCAACCCUUGGCUUAGCCUUCUUUAUUGAUUCCCUCCUUGUCAAUGCCACCACCUCACCGCACCUAUCUACUGGUCCCCAAAUAAUAUAUGAUCACGAUUGAAAAAUCUUAAUUAGAAUGAGACAAAAGUAGAAGAAUAUAUAUAAACUCUUCUUAAUUGGUCACUAAUUAGGGUCAAUUUAUUUGCUUCUAAGUGAGGACACAAAACUAUUUCAAAAGGGUCAUGGGUCAUGCCUCGUGCUCUACUAGUGGUUACAAUGAAAAGGUUAUAGCUGUACAAAGUCGCUUUCUCCUCUACGUGCUGCUUCCUCUUGAAUUAUAUUAAUUAUUGCUUUCUAUAUAUGUGUGACAUAAUUUGUUUUCUUCACCAAGAAACAUUUGAGAGUUGAGAAAUUAAAUUUGUGAA